GACGAACGCUGGCGGCGUGCUUAACACAUGCAAGUCGAACGGAAAGGCUCUGCUUGCAGGGUACUCGAGUGGCGAACGGGUGAGUAACACGUGGGUGAUCUGCCCUGCACUUCGGUAUAAGCCUGGGAAACUGGGUCUAAUACCGGAUAGGAGCCAUUUUUAGUGUGAUGGUUGGAAAGUUUUUUCGGUGUAGGAUGAGCUCGCGGCCUAUCAGCUUGUUGGUGGGGUAAUGGCCUACCAAGGCGGCGACGGGUAGCCGGCCUGAGAGGGUGGACGGCCACAUUGGGACUGAGAUACGGCCCAGACUCCUACGGGAGGCAGCAGUGGGGAAUAUUGCACAAUGGGCGCAAGCCUGAUGCAGCGACGCCGCGUGGGGGAUGACGGCCUUCGGGUUGUAAACUCCUUUCGCUAGGGACGAAGCUUUUGUGACGGUACCUAGAUAAGAAGCACCGGCUAACUACGUGCCAGCCGCCACUGUAA
rnacentral:rRNA from 1 species